CCAAUGGAUGAAGAAGAUCUGGUGGCUUAUAUACAAAAUGGUUUAGAUGAUGAUUUUGAACUUGUCGUUUCCGUAUUGGUGGCAAGGGUGAAACCCAUCACCAUGACGGAUCUAUACUCUCAGCUGUUAAAUUUUGAGA